GGGAGGUUGUUGGUUCCUCUGUGGUCGUGAGGUUUGUUGUCAGAGGAGGGGAGGUUGUUGGUUCCUCUGUGGUCGUGAGGUUUGUUGUCAGAGGAGGGGAGGG